AAUGACGCUUAAAAUCGGUGUAAAAUUUCUAGUAGAAUCGGUGUUCACAGAUAUUUUUCGUUCCACUUCGAAUCUAAAAUUCGAUUUGAGUUAUAUCACUUUUUGUAUAGUAAAAAUGCAGUUAUUAAUAAUGCACUACAGUACGCCGUUGUAACUACAAAAUUCAAUUAAUUAAACAAGAAAACUGUGUACGUUAUUAAGGUAAAUAAUAGGUUGCUUUUUAUGC